UACGGGGGGGGCAAGCGUUGUUCGGAAUUACGGGGCGUAAAGGGUUAGUAGGUGGCCAACUAAGUCAGACGUGAAAUCCCUCAGCUUAACUGGGGAACUGCGUCUGAGACUGAUUGGCUCGAGGACAGGAGAGGAACGCGGAAUUCCAGGUGUAGCGGUGAAAUGCGUAGAUAUCUGGAGGAACACCGGUGGCGAAGGCGGCGUUCUGGACUGUUUCUGACACUGAAUAACGAAAGCCAGGGGAGCAAACGGG
rnacentral:rRNA from 1 species